rnacentral:rRNA from 1 species
GAUGAACGCUGGCGGCGUGCCUAAUACAUGCAAGUCGAGCGAACGGACGAGAAGCUUGCUUCUCUGAUGUUAGCGGCGGACGGGUGAGUAACGCGUGGAUAACCUACCUAUAAGACUGGGAUAACUUCGGGAAACCGGAGCUAAUACCGGAUGAUAUUUUGAACCGCAUGGUUCAAAAGUGAAAGACGGUCUUGCUGUCACUUAUAGAUGGAUCCGCGCUGCAUUAGCUAGUUGGUAAGGUAACGGCUUACCAAGGCAACGAUGCAUAGCCGACCUGAGAGGGUGAUCGGCCACACUGGAACUGAGACACGGUCCAGACUCCUACGGGAGGCAGCAGUAGGGAAUCUUCCGCAAUGGGCGAAAGCCUGACGGAUCAACGCCGCGUGAGUGAUGAAGGUCUUCGGAUCGUAAAACUCUGUUAUUAGGGAAGAACAUAUGUGUAAGUAACUGUGCACAUCUUGACGGUACCUAAUCAGAAAGCCACGGCUAACUACGUG